rnacentral:hammerhead_ribozyme from 1 species
ACCCAACUGAUGAGUCCCAAAUAGGACGAAACUCACGUCAUGAAU